rnacentral:rRNA from 1 species
CAGCAGGUCUGUAGCAAUACAGAUGCUGGCGACCGGCAAACGGGNNNGGAACACGUACACAACCUUCCUUUAAGUGGGGGAUAGCCCGGGGAAACCCGGAUUAAUACCCCGUAAUAUAUUGAAAAGGCAUCUUUUUAAUAUUAUAGCUCCGGCGCUUAAUGAUGGGUGUGCGCCUGAUUAGGUAGUUGGCGGGGUAACGGCCCGC